GACGAACGCUGGCGGCGUGCUUAACACAUGCAAGUCGAGCGAGGCCCCUCCUUCGGGAGGGUGUCCUAGCGGCGAACGGGUGAGUAACACGUGGGCAACCUGCCCCUAGCUCUGGGAUAACUCCGGGAAACCGGGGCGUAAUACCGGAUACGACCUCGGACGGCAUCUUCCGAGGUGGAAAGUUUUCGGCUAGGAUGGCCCGCGGCCUAUCAGCUUGUUGGUGGGGUAAUGGCCUACCAAGGCGACGACGGGUAGCCGGCCUGAGAGGGCGACCGGCCACACUGGGACUGAGACACGGCCCAGACUCCUACGGGAGGCAG
rnacentral:rRNA from 1 species